rnacentral:tRNA from 1 species
UCCUUGGUGGCCCAGUGGUUAGGACUUGGCACUUUCACUGCUGAGGCUCAGGUUCAGUCCCUGCUUGGGGAA